rnacentral:miRNA from 1 species
GAGACUCCUUAUUCCCCUCACAGCCCUACAGUUCCCAGAGUGCUUUAACAAUUAACCCCUGUUCCCAGAGGAUUCUGGGAAUUGUAGGUCUGUGAGGAGAAUAGGGGGUCU